GAUGAACGCUAGCUACAGGCUUAACACAUGCAAGUCGCAGGACUGGCGCACGGGUGAGUAACGCGUAUCCAACCUUCCCAUAACUCCGGGAUAACCCGUUGAAAGACGGCCUAAUACCGUCUGGUUAUGGCUGGGGAUGCGUCUGAUUAGCUUGUUGACGGGGUAACGGCCCACCAAGGCUACGAUCAGUAGCGGUUCUGAGAGUAAGGGCCACCACAAUGGAACGGAGACACGGGCCAAAAUCCUAGGGGAGGAAGCAGAGAGGAACAGUGGGAGAGAGGGGAGAUCCUGGACCAGCCAAGUAGCGUGCAGGAUGACGGGUGAUGGGAUGUAAACAGCUUUUAAGUGAGGAUAGGUACCAAAUGAGUAAGGACCGGCGAAUUCCGUGCCAGCAGCCGCGGUAAUUC
rnacentral:rRNA from 1 species